rnacentral:misc_RNA from 1 species
AAGUCGUAACAAGGUUUCCGUAGGUGAACCUGCGGAAGGAUCAUUAGUGAAUACUAGGACGUCUUCUCUUCGGAGGAGAGUCCGACCUCUCACUUUCUAACACUGUGCACUUAGAUAUUUGGGAAUCAAGCUUUGAAUAGAAUUAUUGUUCUAUUGCUAUAGCUCCCAAUUGCUUUUUAUAACUCUACAAGUUAAAGAAUGUAAUGAUAAACUAUAACAAAAGAAAAACUUUCAACAACGGAUCUCUUGGCUCUC